rnacentral:rRNA from 1 species
UACGUAGGUGGCGAGCGUUGUCCGGAUUUACUGGGCGUAAAGAGCGCGCAGGCGGUCGUGCAAGUCGCGUGUGAAAGCCCCCGGCUCAACUGGGGAGGGUCACGCGAUACUGCUCGACUCGAAGGCAGGAGAGGGUAGUGGAAUUCCCGGUGUAGUGGUGAAAUGCGUAGAUAUCGGGAGGAACACCAGUGGCGAAGGCGACUACCUGGCCUGUUCUUGACGCUGAGGCGCGAAAGCUAGGGGAGCAAACAGG